rnacentral:lncRNA from 1 species
GUUUAGUGGUAUAGGGGUUACUUCUGACUUGAGUAUACCAUUGAACUGUAUUUCUUUAAACCGUCUGGGAAUGUGCUCUUAAAAAUAAGAUAGACUUGAAUGAGUAAGUAAUAGCUUUUUAGUGUAAUGAUGUAAAAUUAAUAGUUUUUAGGUAAAAAAAAAAGUAACUUUUUAAAAACUGAGUUGCCUCACCUAUCAUGUGAUUUUUGUGCUUGUUCUUCCCAGGCAAGUUGGUCACUGAGAUUGGAGAGGAUUGGAAUGGUUCAGCACAUGUAGCUCUAACCAAAUAGACUAUAGAGUUCUGGUCAGAAUUAUGCUCACUAGUAUAUUCUGGUAAUAAGUUGGUUUUAUUUUGUUGAAAUACUAUUUGUAAAAGUGGAAAUUACAGAAUAAUUUCAAUCUAAGAGUAAAUUUUUACUUGUAUGGUCUUUGUUAGGUCUUGUCAUUCUUUUUAAUUUAUUCAUAUCUUUAUCUAAGAGUAUUUUCUUAUGUACCAGAUAACUUGUUAACAUAAAUGCAUUUAUUCUAUCAUUUUAAAUGCAUAGAAAAACAAGAAUGAAUGUAUGCAUUGUAUGGAGGGCAGGCAGUGACUUGGAUAAUAUCUCAAUAACUUUUCUUGGUAGUGCAUUAUUGUUUUUACCCUGCAGAUUUACUUGCCUAAUUCUAUUUGUUUAGUAAUAUUAAAAUUAGUUUAUAAACUCAAAGGACUCAUCAGCUGGUGACAGGGAAGCCCAGAUGCCCACAGAAGCCCAGAGACUCCAAGUCUGGAAGUUUGGUGUUGGAGGCCUGAUGCAGACACUCAGUGUGGAAAAUGCAGGGUGAUGAUGCCCAAAACAGGACACCACAAACACUAUUUUAAUAUUCUUUUUCUAGAGUGUUUUGUGUGUGUGUGUCAAAUUUUAGACGCCUUCCUUGAGUUUGUAAUUUUCAGUUAAUAAGGUAAUAUGUAAUUGGUGGAGGUCCUCUACUUGUGUCUCUUCUUGCUUCUGUAUGUAUAAUUAAUUUUUUUAUGUUCUUAGGGUUGCAUAUUUUAAGAAAUUAGAAAUAUGUGAGCAAAUCACAUUAUCUCUCUGUUCCAAGAGUGAAAGUGCUGGCUUGGCUUUGUGCUGGAGUGCUGGCACCGGGAGAUAGUGUGUUAAGAUAGAGAAUCACAUCAUUAGGUUUGGCAAAUAGAAAUUUAUAAGGCUGGGUGCCAGAGGGAUGCUGGGAGUGCAUUAAGCCUGUCAUUUAUGAGGACUUGUUUCCCUCAACUACCUUCCAGCUUGCCAGUCAGCAAAUGAGAUGUAGUAUUUGGAUCUGGGGGAAGUUUUGGCUAAUGUUUUUCUUUAUUCACAGUAAUGAGGUGUUAAGGUUUGUAGGUUAUGUGAGACUUAAUUUCAUUAUUAUUUUAGUGAUCAGGCCUAAAGACAGAAGAAUUGGAGAAUUGCUUCUUCUCGUUUUCUGCCCCGGGUUCCUUUCCCCUAUCCUUUAAAUUUACCUCUCUGGAUGUCGUUUACAAACUAUGCUUAAUUUGUUUUACAGAUUCAUAGAUUACAGUUUUUCUAUUAUUUUAUUAUCAUUAUUUAAAAGAAGCAGCACUGUCACUGCCCUACAACUCUUGGGCUUUUGACAUAACUGGUCUUCUGCCAGAAGCUGUACAAGCUAAGUGCCCAUGCAACCCUGUGUGGGUGGCGCUUCUGCUGCUUGCCCCGGUGAUACAGAUGCACACACUCGUGGUGUGCGGGUUGUCUACGUUGCCUCCCUUUUCAAUCUUUGCUAUUUAAAAUAAAAAUUAUUUUAUUGUAAUGAAUUUAUAAAUAAAAUCAGUGUACAUCUAGGUUUAGGUGACCGUUCAAACAGACACUGGCUCAGUCCCAGCCUUUCCGUAUUGAAGUGUAACUGGUACAUUGUGCACGGUUGGACUAAUCAUCCAGCAGUCGUGGGCGCUGUCAGUCACCCUGAAGUCUAGGUUUAACUGAAGUGUAUAAACAUCCCAUCAAUUUCAUCUUAUGGACUUAUCUACCACAACAAGGAAGAAAGACCACAGCAGAGUUGAAAGGAGAAAAACAAUUAGCUUUCUAUCUUCUCUUAGGAUUCAUAUGUUCUUUCAUCUGCGUUCUGCCUGUCACCAUCAUCAUCCAAUAUUACCCUAUUUAUUCUCUUUAAUACAUAUCAUAUUAUACCCAUAAUUAUAGCUGUUUAUGUGUAUCUAUACCUUUCAAGCUAAGAUCUGCAUAUAAAGGGAACAUGUGAUUUUUUUUUCCUUUUGAGAUUGGGAUAACUUUACUUAAUAUUAUUGUUCAUAUUUAUUCUCCUUAAUAUAUAUUAUAUUAAACCCGUAAUUACAACUGUUUGCAUUUAUGUAUGUUUAACAUUAUAGGCUAAGACCUAUAUAUGAAGGGCACCUGGGAUCUUUUUUCUUUUCCGAGGUUAGGUGACCUCAUUAAUAUUAUAGAUUAUAACGCCACUCACUUGCUGCAAGUUUUCCUUUUCUUUGAGAGUUGAAUAAUACUGUCUUUUAUGUAUUGUCAGAUUGUCAUUAUUCAUUCAGGCUUCUAGGUUGUUUCCAUUUCCUUUCUGGGGUGAAUAAAGCAUCAAUAAACCUAGGUGUGCCUGAACAGAAUAGUUGCAAAUCAAAUUCAGGAACAUAGUAAGAAUGUCAUAUGUUAUGACUAAGUGGGCUUCAUCUUGAAGGGGCAAGAUUGGGUCAAUAUAUGUAAACUUCCACAAAGCCACCAGAUUGAUACUGAAAAGCAUCUGACAGAAUUCAGCAUGCCUUUAUUAUAAAACAGUUGUUAGGAAUAGAUGGAACAGACCUCAAAAUAAUAAUGAAUGUAUGUAGUAAAGGCUGCUUACAACAAACCUGCAGCUAGCCUCCUAGUAUCAACGUACUGAAGCAUCUCUUCACAUGUCAGCAGUGAGACACGGAGGCCCGCUCAGCACAGAGCUUGGAGUAUCACCUGUAAAAGUGGGGCAAGCAUCGGAAGGAAAAGCCACACUGUCAGUAUUUGCAGAUAAUAGGAAUUUGUACUUAAGAGAUCUUAAUAGACCUUGCUGGAAAAUUCUUAGAUCCAGUGAACACUGACAUAAAGUAGUAGGGUACAGCAUCAAUGUAAACAUGUAGUACCCUUCAUUUAUACCGACAAUGUGCUGUUAGAGAAAGAAUUAGGAAAACUAUCUUUUAUAAUAGCUUAACAACAACAAAAUCAAAGAAUAAACCACCAACAACACACUUAGGAACAUUCUCAGCCGGAGAAGAGAAAGGCCUCUAAUGAAAACUUGAAAACUCUGAAUAAGAGAUGAGAGACUGUUCUAGAGAAUGGUAAGACCUUCUAUUGUUUCUAGAUUGGAGAAUUAAUAGUGUGAAAAUAGCCAUAGCACCAAAAUUAUUUACAUAUUUAAUGGAAGGCAUAUGUUUAAACCAGGGUCUUGUUGAUGUGAAGAAACAUCAUGACUAAAGCAACUUGUGGGACAAAGGUUUGUUUGGCUUACACUUCCACAUCGAAGUUGAUCAUUGAAGGAAGUCAGGACAGGAACUCACACAGGGCGGGAACCUGGAGGCAGGAGCAGAAGAAGAGGCCAUGGAGGGUGCUGCUUACUGCCUUGUUCCCCCUUGCUUGAUCAGCCUGCUUUCUCAUAGAACCCAGGAGACACCAGCCACAGAGUGGGCCGACCCACAGUGGGCUGCACCUUCCUACAUCAAUCACUAAUUAAAAAACUGCCCUACUGGCUUGUUUGUAGCCCCGUCUUCGAAGGCAUUUUUCCCAGUUGCGGGUUCUCUCUUCUCACGUGACUCUGGCAUGUGUCAAGUUGACAUACAAAUAGUUAGCAAUGCACAUUAAAGAUCCGGUGUCCUAUUUCACAGAUCUAGAUUUAAAAAUAACUAGGAAUUACAAGGACUCUCAGAAGGUCACAUACAGCCAAAGCAGUCCUAAGAGUUAAGAGCACUUACGUGAUAGAACAGUCAGUCAGAUGGAAGAGAACAGAUGAUCUGGAUAUAAGCCAACAAAUGGACUGCCCACCUAGAUUUUGACAAAGGUGGCAAAAACUUGCAGUGGAAAAGAUUACUUAUUCAACAAAUGACGCUGGCAAAACCAGCUAUCUACCUACAGAAAAUGAGUUCGUAGUCACACUUUCACCUUGUGUAAAUAGGAAUUCAGAAUGGAUCAAAGGCUUUAAUUUAAAGUCCGAAGCACUGAAAUUAACCAGGCAAAACAUAGGGAGUGCUCAUGAAGACAUCCAGGUAGGCGAGAAGUUUCUGAACAGAACUGAGAAGCACAGCUUCUCUUUGCUAGCUAAGAUCCAGAAUUU